CCUACGGGAGGCAGCAGUGAGGAAUAUUGGUCAAUGGACGCAAGUCUGAACCAGCCAAGCCGCGUGCAGGAAGACGGCUCUAUGAGUUGUAAACUGCUUUUGUACGAGGGUAAAUCCCGAUACGUGUAUCGGGUUGAAAGUAUCGUAUGAAUAAGGAUCGGCUAACUCCGUGCCAGCAGCCGCGGUAAUACGGAGGAUUCAAGCGUUAUCCGGAUUUAUUGGGUUAAAAGGGGGCGUAGGCGGUUCGUUAAGUUAGAGGUGAAAUCCCGGGGCUCAACAUGGGCACUGCCUCUGAUACUGUCGGGCUAGAGGUUAGGUGCGGUAGGGGGAAUGUAUGGGGUAGCGGUGAA
rnacentral:rRNA from 1 species